AUACGGAGGGAGCAAGCGUUAUUCGGAAUCACUGGGCGUAAAGGACGCGUAGGCGGGUUUGUAAGUCAGGUGUGAAAUCCUACAGCUCAACUGUAGAACUGCACGUGAAACUACAGACCUAGAGUAUGGAAGGGGCAGAUGGAAUUAGUGGUGUAGGAGUAAAAUCCGUAGAUAUCACUAGGAAUACCGAAAGCGAAGGCGACCUGCUGGGACAUUACUGACGCUGAGGCGUGAAAGCGUGGGGAGCAAACAGGAUUAGAAACCCCAGUAGUCC
rnacentral:rRNA from 1 species